UACAGAGGUGGCAAGCGUUGUUCGGAAUUACUGGGCGUAAAGGGCGCGUAGGUGGCCUUCUUAGUCAGACGUGAAAUCCCCGGGCUUAACUCGGGAACUGCGUCUGAUACUGGAAGGCUGGAGUUCGGGAGAGGAAUGUGGAAUUCCUGGUGUAGCGGUGAAAUGCGCAGAUAUCAGGAAGAACACCCGUGGCGAAGGCGGCUCUCUGGUACGUGACUGACGCUGAGACGCGAAAGCGUGGGGAGCGAACAGG
rnacentral:rRNA from 1 species